rnacentral:rRNA from 1 species
UACGAAGGGGGCUAGCGUUGCUCGGAAUUACUGGGCGUAAAGCGCACGUAGGCGGAUUGUUAAGUCGGGGGUGAAAUCCUGGAGCUCAACUCCAGAACUGCCUUCGAUACUGGCGAUCUCGAGUUCGGGAGAGGUGAGUGGAACUGCGAGUGUAGAGGUGAAAUUCGUAGAUAUUCGCAAGAACACCAGUGGCGAAGGCGGCUCACUGGCCCGAUACUGACGCUGAGGUGCGAAAGCGAGGG